AACGAACGCUGGCGGCAUGCCUAACACAUGCAAGUCGAACGAGACCUUCGGGUCUAGUGGCGCACGGGUGCGUAACGCGUGGUAACCUGCCCUUAGGUUCGGAAUAACUCCCCGAAAGGGGUUCUAAUACCGGAUAAUGUCUUCGGACCAAAGAUUUAUCGCCUUUGGAUGGGCCCGCGUUGGAUUAGCUAGUUGGUAGGGUAAAAGCCUACCAAGGCGACGAUCCAUAGCUGGUCUGAGAGGAUGAUCAGCCACACUGGGACUGAGACACGGCCCAGACUCCUACGGGAGGCAGCAGUGGGGAAUAUUGGACAAUGGGCGAAAGCCUGAUCCAGCAAUGCCGCGUGAGUGAUGAAGGCCUUAGGGUUGUAAAGCUCUUUUAGCAGGGAUGAUAAUGACAGUACCGGGAGAAUAAGCUCCGGCUAACUCCGUG
rnacentral:rRNA from 1 species